GAAGUGCGAUAAGCAAUGCGAAUUGCAGAACCGUGAGUCAUCAGAUUUUUGAACGCAUCUGGCGCCGGCUGGGUCUCCAGCCGGCAUGCUUGUUUCAGUGUCUUGUUUUCUCCUCACCCAAAUCUUAAUGCGAGAGAUACCCUUCUCUUGUCAAACACGAAAGCACUCUGUGCUCUGCGGGCGGCUUCCUCAGCUUGCUGAUGGGUCGCACUCAAUGCAGCUGUCACAUUGCUUACAAUGUGAACUCGUUGAGAGUAGAGACAGUGCAGCGUAUGCUGUCAGUGCUUAGUCACCUAAACUUUCCUUGCAUCUGAAAUCAAGCAGGACCACCCGCUGAACUUAA
rnacentral:misc_RNA from 1 species